AGCAGCCGCGGUAAUUCCAGCUCCAAUAGCGUAUAUUAAAGUUGUUGCAGUUAAAAAGCUCGUAGUUGAAUUUCAGGGUCAGUAGGUUGGUCAUGCCACUGGUAUGUACUGGUCUCACUGAUUCCUCCUUCCUGAUGAACUGUAAUGCCAUUAAUUUGGUGUUGCAGGGAAUCUGGACUGUUACUUUGAAAAAAUUAGAGUGUUUAAAGCAGGCUAACGCCUGAAUACAUUAGCAUGGAAUAAUGAAAUAGGACGUUCGAUCCUAUUUUGUUGGUUUCUAGGAUUGACGUAAUGAUUAAUAGGGAUAGUUGGGGGCAUUAGUAUUCAAUUGUCAGAGGUGAAAUUCUUGGAUUUAUUGAAGACUAACUACUGCGAAAGCAUUUGCCAAGGAUGUUUUCAUUAAUCAAGAACGAAAGUUAGGGGAUCGAAGACGAUCAGAUACCGUCGUAGUCUUAACCAUAAACUAUGCCGACUAGGGAUCGGAUGAUGUUAAUUUUUUAAUGACUCA
rnacentral:rRNA from 1 species